GUAUCACAUAGAAGUGCAGAGAGAAAUGCUGGAGAGGGAGGAGAGAAUGAGGUGAAAUACACUGAAAAUGACAGGAUGAUGAAGGAGCAGGACCAACAACAGCAGAGGGAACUGUUCGAGAGGCUGCUUAGCCUGAGGGCCAGAAGGCAGCAGAUUCCAGUACCUGCCUCUGCACACUGACUGCUCUGGUGCAGCAAUCUCCAAUGGACACUGCUCCACAUUACUACAUCCUGCAGCCACUGGAUAAUUGUGGGUGGGCAAUGAGCCAGUCUAUGCACUCCUGGAAUGGAAGUAUGGUGACAAGCCACUGCCAAAAUGCCCUCCGCCAUGUCUCAUGGCCUGUAGCUGCCUCCUGUUGAAAUGAGAGUUGCAUUAAUGCCAAAAGCUGGAACGGGUCACCAUCCUGAGCUAAAUCCAUGCCUUACUACCAGCUGGAAUGGAUUUUCUUGAUUAAAAAAUGAGAGUAAACUUUGGCACUUUCCAUAAAUUCAGAUGAUUUGAUAAAAUAUUUCUUGUUUUCUCAAGUUUACAUAUCCCAAGCUUUCACUGUUGCUAUGGGGCAGGUUGGAGCAGAGAUGAAAAUAAAUCUGUGUCAUUUA